ACUGUCAGCACAGAGCCUGAUGCGGGGCUCCAACUCGCGAACCGUGGCAUCGCGACCCGAGGCGAAAUCAGGAGUGAGGCACCGAACCAGGCUGCUUCCAUCCCUCUCCUCUGCCGGGCCCCCUCCCCUGCCCUGGGUCUGACUGCCGGACCACCCCACGGCUCCGUCCUGGGUCGUCGUCCUCUCCUUACGUGACCUCAUCCGCUUCCACGCCGUUAAACAUCAUCUUCACGGUUCUGACUUCUGAAGCCGGUUCUCCUGGCAACAGCUUAUCUUCCUGUGCGAGACAGUGGCACGGCCAUUUGGAGGUGCACUUUGCUCAGC